rnacentral:rRNA from 8 species
CCAACAGGGAUUGCUCUAGUAACGGCGAGUGAAGCAGCAAUAGCUCAAAUUUGAAAUCUGGCGUCUUCGACGUCCGAGUUGUAAUUUGUAGAGGAUGCUUCUGAGUAACCACCGACCUAAGUUCCUUGGAACAGGACGUCAUAGAGGGUGAGAAUCCCGUAUGCGGUCGGAAAGGUGCUCUAUACGUAGCUCCUUCGACGAGUCGAGUUGUUUGGGAAUGCAGCUCUAAAUGGGAGGUAAAUUUCUUCUAAAGCUAAAUAUUGGCCAGAGACCGAUAGCGCACAAGUAGAGUGAUCGAAAGAUGAAAAGCACUUUGGAAAGAGAGUUAAAAAGCACGUGAAAUUGUUAAAAGGGAAGGGAUUGCAACCAGACUUGCUCGCGGUGUUCCGCCGGUCUUCUGACCGGUCUACUCGCCGCGUUGCAGGCCAGCAUCGUCUGGUGCCGCUGGAUAAGACUUGAGGAAUGUAGCUCCCUCGGGAGUGUUAUAGCCUCUUGUGAUGCAGCGAGCGCCGGGCGAGGUCCGCGCUUCGGCUAGGAUGCUGGCGUAAUGGUCGUAAUCCGCCC